UUAUGGCCACAUCACAUUGAAACACCAGUUCCCAUACAAUCAGCAAAGUUAAGCAACAUCAAGCCUGGUCAGUACCUAGAUGGAUGACUGCAUGGGAAUACCAGGUACUGUAGG